UAAUAGUCUAACAGUUGCAUGUGCAACUCACUGUUCUGAAGUCAUUUUGCUCUUGUUAAAAAGGCCAUUAUAUUCAUCAGAAUAAUAUGCCUUCUGAUAUACUUCUCUCUCUCUGUUGCCGAGAUUGAAUGAUUGACGCACAGCAUCCAGCACAGCAGCCAAUCAGCGUUCACGGAUCGACGUGCAGGCGAUCAUCCCGCCCAUAGCGCUCAGUGCAAAGAUGAAAGCGAGUCCAGCGGAGCGUUGACACAGAUGCUGAACUUUUCAGUUUUAUAUCUUCUAUAGUUUAUUCAUCGUUCGGGUGUUGUGCGUCUAUUGAAAAAAGACCACACACACACACACAUACUGAAAACACCCAACUAAGUAAACUUUUCAACUUUCUACUCAUAACUGAGUUGUUGUGGUGACAAAUAAACGGGUUACUCCCAUAUUUCAA